rnacentral:rRNA from 1 species
CGUUCACUCUGGCGGUAGGCCUAACACAUGCAAGUCGAACGGCAGCACAGUAAGAGCUUGCUCUUACGGGUGGCGAGUGGCGGACGGGUGAGGAAUACAUCGGAAUCUACUUUUUCGUGGGGGAUAACGUAGGGAAACUUACGCUAAUACCGCAUACGACCUACGGGUGAAAGCAGGGGAUCUUCGGACCUUGCGCGAUUGAAUGAGCCGAUGUCGGAUUAGCUAGUUGGCGGGGUAAAGGCCCACCAAGGCGACGAUCCGUAGCUGGUCUGAGAGGAUGAUCAGCCACACUGGAACUGAGACACGGUCCAGACUCCUACGGGAGGCAGCAGUGGGGAAUAUUGGACAAUGGGCGCAAGCCUGAUCCAGCCAUACCGCGUGGGUGAAGAAGGCCUUCGGGUUGUAAAGCCCUUUUGUUGGGAAAGAAAAGCAGCAGGUUAAUACCCCGCUGUUCUGACGGUACCCAAAGAAUAAGCACCGGCUAACUUCGUG